GACGAACGCUGGCGGCGUGCUUAACACAUGCAAGUCGAGGGCACUAUUGGGGCAACCUGGUAGUGACCGGCGAACGGGUGCGUAACACGUGAGCGACCUUGCCUCGUGGUGGGGGAUAGCCGGCCCAACGGCCGGGUAAUACCGCAUAUGGUAGUUUCUUCGCAUGGGGAGACUAGCAAAGCCUUGGAGCAAUCCAAUGGCGCCACAGGGGGGGCUCGCGGCCUAUCAGCUAGUGGGGGGGUAAUGGCCCACCAAGGCGACGACGGGUAGCUGGUCUGAGAGGAUGGCCAGCCACAUUGGGACUGAGAGACGGCCCAGACUCCUACGGGAGGCAGCAGUGGGGAAUCUUGCGCAAUGGCCGAAAGGCUGACGCAGCGACGCCGCGGUGGGGGAGGAAGGCC
rnacentral:rRNA from 1 species